rnacentral:rRNA from 1 species
AUGGCGACCUUGACGGAGGAGGUUGCUGCUGCGGCGGUGGUCGGAGCCGGCGAAAAGGCGGAGGCGGUUGCUACGCCGGAGAAGGUUGAUGAGGUGAAGGAGGCGGGUGCGGGCGGGGAGGAGAUGGAGGUCGCCGGCGGGGAGGCGAAGAAGGCGGAGGAGGAGCAAGGGGAGCAGGGCAAGGAGACGGAGAAGAAGCCGAGGAGCAGGAAGCCCCGGUCGGCGGGGCCGCACCACCCGCCCUACUUCGAGAUGAUCAAGGAGGCGAUCAUGGCGGCGGGCGACGGCAAGGCGGGGGCGAGCGCGUACGCGAUCGCGAAGCGCGUCGGGGAGCGGCACGGCGAGGCGCUCCCGGGCAACUACCGCAAGGUGCUGGGCGCGCAGCUCCGGGGCUUCGCCGCCAAGGGCCGGCUCGUCCGGGUCAAGGCCUCCUUCCGCCUCGCCCCGGCCGAGGAGAAGAAGGCGGCGCCCAAGUCCAAGAAGAGGACGGCCACCACCAAGAAGGCCGCGUCGAAGAAGGCGGCGCCGGCGCCGGCGCGCCAGAAGAGGGCGAAGAAGGCGGGACCGCCGACGGCGAAGCCGAAGCCGAAGCAGCCAAAGUCGAUCCGCGGCAGGAAGGCCAACAAGGCCAGCGCCUGA